GAUGAACGCUGACAGAAUGCUUAACACAUGCAAGUCAACUUGAACUUCGGUUUGGGUGGCGGACGGGUGAGUAACGCGUAAAGAACUUGCCUCACAGAUAGGGACAACAUUUGGAAACGAAUGCUAAUACCUGAUAUUAUGAUUAUAUGGCAUCGUAUAAUUAUGAAAGCUAUAUGCGCUGUGAGAGAGCUUUGCGUCCCAUUAGCUAGUUGGAGAGGUAACGGCUCACCAAGGCGAUGAUGGGUAGCCGGCCUGAGAGGGUGAUCGGCCACAAGGGGACUGAGACACGGCCAUUACUCCGACGGGAGGCAGCAGUGGGGAAUAUUGGACAAUGGACCAAGAGUCUGAUCCAGCAAUUCUGUGUGCACGAUGAAGUUUUUCGGAAUGUAAAGUGCUUUCAGUUGGGAAGAAAAAAAUGACGGUACCAACAGAAGAAGUGACGGCUAAAUACGUG
rnacentral:rRNA from 1 species